rnacentral:rRNA from 1 species
UACAGAGGUGGCAAGCGUUGUUCGGAAUUACUGGGCGUAAAGGGCGCGUAGGCGGCUCGACAAGUCCCGCGUGAAAGCCCCCGGCUCAACUGGGGAACUGCGCGGGAAACUGUCGGACUUGAGUUCGGGAGAGGGAAGCGGAAUUCCGGGUGUAGCGGUGAAAUGCGUAGAUAUCCGGAGGAACACCGGUGGCGAAGGCGGCUUCCUGGACCGACACUGACGCUGAGGCGCGACAGCGUGGGGAGCAAACAGG